GUGUGGCUGUCCAGCUUCUCCCCAGGUUUUGCCAACACGUACAUCUUUACUCAUUAAGCCAUCAGGAGUUAAAAUAUGCUAACCUGGAAUCUGUGAGUAUUGUCUGAAGUCCGCAGGGCUGGAGCAUGGGAGCUCGGCCACAGCGGCCGUGGGAGGCCCCAGGGGAGGGGACGCUGGGGCUGGGAGCUGGCGGGGACACACACGGAGGCCUCCAGUGGCUCAGUAACCUCGGGCUUGGUUUCCUCAGAGGCUGGCAUCUUAGGAGGCCCGAUCUAGGGAGUGAAGCUUCAAAGCAGGGGAGGCACUAAGCAUUUCUGUGGCUACGCCUUCAGAAAGGACCCUGCCGCUGGGCCCAAGUCACGCUGCCUGCCAGGAAGGGAAUUAUGAUGGGGAAAUGGGGGCCUAUUUCUGCUUAAAAACGAGACAAAGAAGAUAAAUACACAGGGAGAAUGGUGUCCGAAAGUUGGUUUUUCUCUAGUUGUCCUGAGUUCUUUACAAUCAAGGCAGUGUCUGGAUGGAAUGUCUGUGAAGUCCGCCCUUUUGCUGGUAACAUCCGGGCAGUCGGCCUGCAGGACACAUGAGGCUCGUCGCCACACAUCCUCAACCCUGCGGAUGUCAUCCCUGCUGCCUUAGCUAUCAGCCAAUGCCUGACACGGGAAGUUUCCUCACAGGAAAAGCAGACAUGAAAGCCUGGGGCAGCAGGCAGCACCCCCC